rnacentral:rRNA from 1 species
UACGAAGGGUGCUAGCGUUGCUCGGAAUCACUGGGCGUAAAGCGCACGUAGGCGGAUCUUUAAGUCAGGGGUGAAAUCCCAAGGCUCAACCUUGGAACUGCCUUUGAUACUGGGGAUCUCGAGUCCGGAAGAGGUGAGUGGAAUUCCGAGUGUAGAGGUGAAAUUCGUAGAUAUUCGCAAGAACACCGGUGGCGAAGGCGGCCAACUGGACCAUUACUGACGCUGAGGCGCGAAAGCGUGGGGAGCAAACAGG